UACGGGGGGAGCUAGCGUUGUUCGGAAUGACUGGGCGUAAAGGGCGCGUAGGCGGUUGAUCAAGUUAGAUGUUAAAGACCUGGGCUUAACCUGGGGGUUGCAUUUAAGACUGAUUGACUUGAGAUAAGGAGAGGAGGACGGAAUUUCCGGUGUAGAGGUGAAAUUCGUAGAUAUCGGAAGGAACAUCGGUGGCGAAGGCGGUUCUCUGGCCUUUUUCUGACGCUGAGGCGCGAAAGCGUGGGGAGCGAAUAGG
rnacentral:rRNA from 1 species